rnacentral:misc_RNA from 1 species
GGCCAUACAACAACUCGUUUGGGGUAUGCAACCAUGAGAAUAAUUUUGUUCGUUACAUUAGUUGUGUGCCCAAUUUUCCUUCUGUUAGGUAUCAUUAGGGCAGCUGAAGAUGGGAUCAAGUUAUUCAAUAUGGGUAAUAUGUUUAGGAUCAUUCUAGGUGUGCAUUCAAUGGUUUUUUUGUUCUUAAGCUGUUCAUUAGUUUAGGAACUACAUUAACUAGUAUCAGUAGAAUUGGGUGGUCAUAGGGGGGUAGGACUAUCAGAUGAUCAAAUUGCUAAUCUAGACUCUAGAGUAGCUGCUAUUCCUGAUGAGUGCAUUGAGUUUCUCUUAUUCGCCUUUUCUCUCUCUAUUUGCCUGUGUAUCUGUCUCAAAUUUACUCAUUUUAUAUGUAUCAACUUGUUGACAUGGUAUUUUGUCUCUACAUUUUGUUGUCUAAUUUAAUAGGCAUUGGGACAAAUUUGAGGAUU